UUUUAGGUGGCCGAGAUUUGAGGCAUUAGAUUUUUAAUUUAAUUACGGUUUUAUAUUAAAUAACCCCUGAAAG
rnacentral:tRNA from 1 species